UACAGGGAAGUUUUUAAACAAAUAAAAAUAUGUAGAAACACGAGAAAGCAGAAUGAUACGAGCAAAGUUCAAACAUUCAGUAACUAUCUAGUGAGCACCAACUACUGAUGUGCCAGGCAACUCACAGUGGUGAGUGACGUAGAUUAAGAUUCAGUCUCCACAGAACGUAAAAGUUGCAUGCUGUUCUGCGUUUAAGAGAGGGGGCCUGAUCUUCUGAAAUCUGUUUUUUGUAAGUAGGCUAAACAUAAAUAAUGAACAGGAUAGAGAGAGAAUAUGGUAGCUUUUUAAGGCAGGGCUCAGCAGCCUAUGACAAGGGGUCCCAGAGCAACUUUGGAAACAAUUUAUAGUGGUUCAGUGUUCAAGCUGUGGAGAGCCAAGUAGGGGGGCUACCCUGAGUUUAUCCCAGCCUUUCCAAGCCUUCUGCAACCUCAUCUCCACCUCCACUCCCGCUGGAUUUCUGGCAGCUGAAGGAUCAUGCCUCUGGGCUACCCCAACACUCAUUCCAGCAGAGGAGCUACAAGAAGCACAGGGUGCACGAGCUGGACAGUGAAGUGAGGCUGUGUGAUUCACAAGAUGUUAACUUGUAGCCAGUUUGCUACUUUCCAAGGCUACAGGAAGAGAAGGAUAAAAAUGACUGCAAACUACUUCAUGGAGAGCUUUUUGUUUAAAGGCUGACGACAAAUACCAGAGUCACAAGGUCCAGCAAACCUCCCUCAGAAGCAGUUGAGCUUCUUGAGGACAGGGAACUUUUUUUCUUCUUUGAAUCAGCAGUAUCUUAUUUGUAUUUCUGUAAUACAGUUCCUGGCCUAGAAAAAGGUCUCAAAAAAUGCUGUACAUUUAUUAAUGUUAUUAGGCAGAUUGCAAUCUUGGCAGGCCUCUUAAAUCUCUUUUCUGUGAUCCUUUCCAUACUCGGCAUGGAAAAGGCCGCCGCUGUUUGCUCUGGGAUAAGUACCCAAGGCAUUUACUUAAAAAUACCCAAGACUAGAGAAAU
rnacentral:lncRNA from 1 species